rnacentral:rRNA from 1 species
CAUUCACGGAGAGUUUGAUCCUGGCUCAGGACGAACGCUGGCGGCGUGCUUAACACAUGCAAGUCGAACGAUGAAGCCCUUCGGGGUGGAUUAGUGGCGAACGGGUGAGUAACACGUGGGCAAUCUGCCCUUCACUCUGGGACAAGCCCUGGAAACGGGGUCUAAUACCGGAUAAUACUUUCUCUCUCAUGGGGGAAGGUUAAAAGCUCCGGCGGUGAAGGAUGAGCCCGCGGCCUAUCAGCUAGUUGGUGGGGUAAUGGCCUACCAAGGCGACGACGGGUAGC